rnacentral:rRNA from 1 species
UACGUAGACGGUUGGAUAGGUCGGAUGUGAAAGCCCCGGGCUCAACCUGGGAAUGGCAUUCGAGACUGUUCAGCUAGGGUGCGGAAGAGGGAAGCGGAAUUUCCGGUGUAGCGGUGAAAUGCGUAGAUAUCGGAAGGAACACCAGUGGCGAAAGCGGCUUCCUGGUCCAGCACCGACGUUCAGGUACGAAAGCAUGGGGAGCAAACAGGAUUAGAUACCCUGGUAGUCCAUGCCAUAAACGAUGAGGACUAGACGUUGAGAGGGUAAGCCUCGCAGUGUCGUAGCUAACGCGCUAAGUCCUCCGCCUGGGGAGUACGGCCGCAAGGUUGAA